AAUCGUAAAGUAUAUUUCUGAUAAUCUUGAUUACAGUUAUAAUUAUAAAAUGUAUUGCAGAUAAUGUUGAUCGCUUAGUAUAAUUACUUGUGUUAUUGACUAUAAGAAGAUAAAUAUUUAUUACCAUUUACAUUUUUUUAGCUCUGCAUAAAUGUUACACAUUAACCUCCAUUUAAAUAAUAUUCUUCUCUAAAUAAUAUUCUUUUUUUCAGCAGAUAGAAUUACAGCUGAUGAGAGAGAGGAGGAAAGAGAAUAUCCCCCAGAGAAGGACAGAGUUUGCCUCUGCUGUUGCCAAGAAGAAGUAAAGAAAGUGGAUGCAGUUCUAUUCUAUAGUUUGCCAGAACCGAAAUUCGAAGGCCAAUCUGUCCAUAAGAGAGAUUUCACAUGGAAGCCAAUACCCAAGAAGGAACUUCCCCCGUGGCAUCCUCUACUGAGUGACAGGUGGAAAAGUUUGCAAGUGCCCAGUAUAAAGAAGUCUACUUACCAAAAUGAUUUCUACCCUCCACCACCCUGUGUAAGCAAGACCAAGGAACCUGAGUACUCUGUUCCAGAAGAAGAAAUAAGUUCCAAACCUGCGUGUGAUUGUUUUAUUGAGGUCCCACAAGUGUGCUGCUGCCCAAAACAACCACAGUUAACAACAGAUUGCAAGUUGAAAGGAUAUGACCUGGUAGGUACUGUCACAUGCUGUCCAGGAAAUUGCCCCGGGACAGAUUCAACCAAUUGCAAAUGCCAACCUCUCUCUUCAAAUCUACAAUAACCGCUUUGCAAUCAGAUUUGAUUAAAAAAAUCAUUCUGAAUUCAA